rnacentral:rRNA from 1 species
GAUGAACGCUGGCGGCGUGCCUAAUACAUGCAAGUAGAACGCUGAAGCUUGGUGCUUGCACCGAGCGGAUGAGUUGCGCACGGGUGAGUAACGCGUAGGUAACCUGCCUCUUAGCGGGGGAUAACUAUUGGAAACGAUAGCUAAUACCGCAUAAAAGUCGAUAUCGCAUGAUAUUGAUUUGAAAGGUGCAAAUGCAUCACUAAGAGAUGGACCUGCGUUGUAUUAGCUAGUUGGUGAGGUAACGGCUCACCAAGGCGACGAUACAUAGCCGACCUGAGAGGGUGAUCGGCCACACUGGGACUGAGACACGGCCCAGACUCCUACGGGAGGCAGCAGUAGGGAAUCUUCGGCAAUGGGGGCAACCCUGACCGAGCAACGCCGCGUGAGUGAAGAAGGUUGUCGGAUCGUAAAGCUCUGUUGUAAGAGAAGAACGAGUGUGAGAGUGGAAAGUUCACACUGUGACGGUAACUUACCAGAAAGGGACGGCUAACUACGUG